GAUGAACGCUGGCGGCGUGCCUAAUACAUGCAAGUCGAGCGAACAGACGAGGAGCUUGCUCCUCUGACGUUAGCGGCGGACGGGUGAGUAACACGUGGAUAACCUACCUAUAAGACUGGGAUAACUUCGGGAAACCGGAGCUAAUACCGGAUAAUAUAUUGAACCGCAUGGUUCAAUAGUGAAAGACGGUUUUGCUGUCACUUAUAGAUGGAUCCGCGCCGCAUUAGCUAGUUGGUAAGGUAACGGCUUACCAAGGCAAGGAUGCGUAGCCGACCUGAGAGGGUGAUCGGCCCAACUGGAACUGGGACCGGGUCCAAACUCCAAGGGGGGGCAGCAGUAGGAAAUCUUCCGCAAGGGCGAAAGGCUUACCGAAGCACCGCGGCGUGGGGAAGAAAGUCCUUCGGACGGAAAACCUCUGUUAUAAGGAAAAACCAAAGGUUAAAUUACUUAUGCAGGUCUGGACGUACCCUAACAAGAAAGCCACGGCUACCUCGG
rnacentral:rRNA from 1 species